UACAGAGGUCCCAAGCGUUGUUCGGAUUCAUUGGGCGUAAAGCGCACGUAGGCGGCCUGAUAAGUCGGGUGUGAAAGCCCUGGGCUCAACCCAGGAAGUGCACUCGAAACUGUCAGGCUUGAAUAUGGAAGAGGGUCGCGGAAUUCCCGGUGUAGAGGUGAAAUUCGUAGAUAUCGGGAGGAACACCAGUGGCGAAGGCGGCGACCUGGGCCAAUAUUGACGCUGAGGUGCGAAAGCGUGGGGAGCAAACAGG
rnacentral:rRNA from 1 species